rnacentral:lncRNA from 1 species
CGAGUAACUAAACGUCCAAGAACAACGAUCAAGUAAAGCCACUUUUAUUAGCUUCAUAGCAUCAUCCCAAUAUCUAGAUUGAACAUCAAGAUCCCAAAAAUGGUUUACAAGCAAUAAUUGGUAACUUGUACGAUUAUUAAAUACUAUUAAACCCUUAGAAAUAAGUAUUAAAAAUUAGCCGGCUGAUCAUGACAACAACACAAAGGCGAAGGAGAUGGCAUACAAGCACCCGUUAGAAAACCCCGCUCUUGGCAAAGUUGUAGGCAACUGUUCUUAAUCGAUGCACAUGGUCCAAUGCAUGCAGGUGUAAGACCUGAAUACAUGCAUAUACAAUCAAUCAAUAUGUUUUAUAAUCUUAUAAUAACACAAGAAAUGAGAAAUGAAAGAAAGUUUUCAUACCUAAACUUGGAACAAAUACCAACACCAAAACUGUGAUGGCCAGUAUUGUUUUUGAUGUCAAAGCCAUGAGUCUAAUUAACGUUUGAUUUGAUGUAGCUUGAUU